rnacentral:rRNA from 1 species
GAUGAACGCUGGCGGCGUGCCUAACACAUGCAAGUCGAGCGAUUUACUUCGGUAAAGAGCGGCGGACGGGUGAGUAACGCGUGGGUAACCUGCCCUAUACACACGGAUAACAUACCGAAAGGUAUGCUAAUACGAGAUAAUAUAAGAGAUUCACAUGGAUUUCUUAUCAAAGCUGAGGCGGUAUAGGAUGGACCCGCGUCUGAUUAGCUAGUUGGUAAGGUAACGGCUUGCCAAGGCGGCGAUCAGUAGCCGACCUGAGAGGGUGAUCGGCCACAUUGGAACUGAGACACGGUCCAAACUCCUACGGGAGGCAGCAGUGGGGAAUAUUGCACAAUGGGCGAAAGCCUGAUGCAGCAACGCCGCGUGAGUGAUGAAGGCCUUCGGGUCGUAAAACUCUGUCCUCAAGGAAGAUAAUGACGGUACUUGAGGAGGAAGCCCCGGCUAACUACGUGCCAGCCGCCGCAGUAAGAC